AGCAGCCGCGGUAAUUCCAGCUCCAAUAGCGUAUAUUAAAGUUGCUGCAGUUAAAAAGCUCGUAGUUGAAUUUCGGGACCAUCAUGUCGGUCGUGCCUCGGUACGUACUGGCAUUGUUGGUCUCUACCUUCUGACGAACCAUGAUGUCAUUUUAUUUGGUGUCGUGGGGAAUCAGGACUGUUACUUUGAAAAAAUUGAGUGCUUAAAGCAGGCUCACGCUUGAAUACAUUAGCAUGGAAUAAUGAAAUAGGACGUUUGAUUUCUAUUUUGUUGGUUUCUAGGAUCGACGUAAUGAUUAAUAGGGAUAGGUUGGGGGCAUUAGUAUUCAAUUGUCAGAGGUGAAAUUCUUGGAUUUAUUGAAGACUAACUACUGCGAAAGCUAUUUGCCAAGGAUGUUUUCAUUAUCAAGAACGAAGUUAGGGAUCGAAGACGAUCAGAUACCGUCGUAGUCUUAACCAUAAACUAUNACCGUACUAGGGAUCGGAUGAUUGUUUAAUUUUUUAUAGUACUUAC
rnacentral:rRNA from 1 species